rnacentral:rRNA from 1 species
GCCUACGGGGGGCAGCAGUCGGGAAUAUUGCGCAAUGGAGGAAACUCUGACGCAGUGACGCCGCGUAUAGGAAGAAGGUUUUCGGAUUGUAAACUAUUGUCCACAGGGAAGAUAAAAGACUGUACCUGUGAAGAAAGCUCCGGCUAACUACGUGCCAGCAGCCGCGGUAAUACGUAGGGAGCAAGCGUUAUCCGGAUUUAUUGGGUUUAAAGGGUGCGCAGGCGGUCUGUUAAGUCAGCGGUCAAAGCCCGGGGCUCAACCCCGGCCCGCCGUUGAAACUGGCAGUCUCGAGUUGGAGAGAAGUA